GCCUGGCUGGCUCAGUUGGUAGAGCAUGGGACUCUUGAUCUGAGGGUCAUGAGUUCAAGCCUCAUAUUGGGCA